UACAGAGGGUGCGAGCGUUGUCCGGAAUCACUGGGCGUAAAGGGCGCGUAGGCGGCGCAACAAGUCACUUGUGAAAUCUCCGGGCUUAACCCGGAGCGGUCAAGUGAUACUGUCGUGCUAGAGUGCGGAAGGGGCUACUGGAAUUCCCGGUGUAGUGGUGGAAUGCGUAGAUAUCGGGGAGGAACACCAGUGGCGAAGGCGGUUGCCUGGGGGCUUUGCUGACGCUGAUGCGCGAAAGCUAGGGAGCGAACGGGAUGAGAUA
rnacentral:rRNA from 1 species